AUUUUCACCAUUUAAACUAUAGAUUUCAUACAAAAUAAUCAUGCGAGGUCUUAUAUUUGGUGUUCUAUUUGCCUUAGUUGUGUAUGUAAGUGGGGAGUAUUGUGUGACAACGUAUCAGUGUGUAAGUCAUGGCUGGAAAUGCGGAGCCGACAAACAUCUUCAUUGCUCAAGUAAUCGUUGCCAAUGUAUAGCUCCAUAUUGCACUGAAACUAAAGACUGCACAUGUUCUUCCGCGAACACGAUCCCAGAAUGUGUUGAUCAUCGCUGUAAAUGUACCACAAUAUGAUAGUCUAAUCUCUACAAUGAAAAUAAAAUGUUAUGUAACAGUAAUAAAAUGGUUC